rnacentral:rRNA from 1 species
GGACCCGCACAAGUAGUGGAGCAUGUGGUUUAAUUCGAAGAUACGCGCAGAACCUUACCAACACUUGACAUGUUCGUCGCGACUUUAAGAGAUUAAAGUUUUCGGUUCGGCCGGACGAAACACAGGUGCUGCAUGGCUGUCGUCAGCUCGUGUCGUGAGAUGUUGGGUUAAGUCCCGCAACGAGCGCAACCCUCACUUUUAGUUGCCAUCAUUUAGUUGGGCACUCUGAAAGAACUGCCAGUGAUAAGCUGGAGGAAGGUGGGGAUGACGUCAAGUCCUCAUGGCCCUUACGUGUUGGGCUACACACGUGCUACAAUGGUUAAGACAAAGAGUCGCGAGCUCGUGAGAGU